ensembl:lncRNA
GAGAUCCCUGUGUACCUGAGGCCUUCCAAAGCUAUUUUAGAGGAUACCUGCCAUUUGGAUGGGGGCUGCUUGAUACUGGAGAAGAACCCAGAGGUGAUGAGAUCACAGGAGAAGAGCUAAAUGAAUCAUGUGGCUUCCCACCUGAUGUAGGAGGAAUAGGCACAUUUCCCCAACCGGUGUUCAGCAGACCAUCUGCUUAGUAUAGAGCUGUGAGACUGAUGAUGGGACAAACAGGCCAAGAGAGUGGUAGUAAAUCACCAUUACUAAGUACUGUCAUGGUAGAGCCCUGAAGGAAGCUAACUCACUCUACUUGUUAUGGCAGGUAACUUCUCUUAAAACUGCCUUGGGGCCUGAGGUCUUGAAAGGUGACAGACACGGGACGCUCUGCAGAAGAAAUCCCAUGGAGAUCCUGUGGUCAGCUGAGAACUGCCCUGAGUAAUUUAGUUGGUACUAAGGCAAGGAGCUGAAUUAAUGAGCAGCACUAGAGGUAUAAUGUGUUGGACGAGAGUCAAUGCGAUGCUUAAAAAACAAAAUUCUGCUUUUCAAAACCUACUGUAGAUGUGGUGGGGUGAGCGAGCCUGUGCCAAAGAAAAGUCAGAAGAGCAGCUUACUUGAGCUUAAAAGAGUCCCUCUUUCAGAGCAAGAGUUUAAGGAAUUGUAUGCCUGUCCUGCCCUUUCUCUUUAUCAGUUAGCUGCUUUUGGUCACUGGUGGCUACAUAGAGCUUUCCUCUGACUCCAUAUAGGUCUGAGAGUCAGAAAAACAUAUGGCAAAAAAACUUGUAUCUUUAAAUACAUAAUUUCUUCUCUGCUGGGCCUUCCGUGCUUCCCAUAAAAUUGGGUAACAGCUUUGUCUUGAAAGUCCUCUGCCAGUUAUGUGGAACUCCAACACUGCAGCAACUGCAUUUGUGUACUGUUUGGAUAGGGCUGGUUAUGUGCUGGCUAGCUCCCUGCCUGAGAAGAGAGCGGUGCUGAAGGAGGAACCUCUGUGUUCUGAUAUCUAAAUGUAAUACUGAGGGCUUAUCAUCUAUGUGUGAGGCUAUUUCUCAGCUUGCAGUCAUUUGUUCUGUGCCCUGUGUAUGUCCCAGUUUCUCCCGCAGAUACAUCAGAGCUCAGAUGGCUGAUCUUCCUUACAGAACCAGAUCAGCCCCCAGUAAAUGCUUUUACUGUGGAGAAAGCAAGACUUGGUGCUGCAAAAAUGUUCCAUGGCACAUCUAAGCAUACAUAAAAAAUAAGAAUCAGCAUUUUCAAAGUGAUUUAUGUUCUGAUAUCUCCCAGCUUUUGAAUACUUGACUUGGUGACAUAUACUGUCAUUUAAAAUGUUUUCAUUGCACUUGUCCGCUACUGGUGAAGGAAAAGAGGCAGAACAGGUGCUGAAACAUUAAUUAAAAUAAAACCAGGUGUCCAACCCCCCAGAGAAGCCUGUUGUACCCUGAACACCAUGUUGUGCAGUCUCCUGCAGUGCAGGCAGAAUCUUCUUAGCCAGUUCGCAAACUGGAGGUGCCACAAGCUCUGCUUGGGUUCACGCCUGAGGUGGCACAGAGCUGCAUGGCUCCCUGGCAGUGUCAGGCAGAGAGGUGUUCACUAUUUUGGUGCCAGCUCUCCAGCAGGCUUUAUCUAGUCCGUGUUUUUGGGAUCUUAAAACAAGUUAUUUUUUAGAAGUGAAGAG